UUUUAUUAUUACUUUUUGUGAUAUCUUUUUUCCCAUUUUUGUGAUAACGUUUUUUUUUCACUUAUAAAAAAACUAGUAGUUCAAAAAACCUGUGUAUCCAUCAAAACGAAAAAGUACCAAUAUUGUGAAAAAUAUAUUGUCAUCACGCCCCUCGUGAAAAAAAUUAUUGAUAAAACCACCGUAAUAGUGAAAUUUGGAAUUAAACUUCAAUAAAAAAUUCUUACAGAAACCAUGGAAGUUUUGAGAAAAAAAUGAAAAUAGAAAAUUAUAGUUUUCCUAUAGAUCGAAGAAAAUAAAAUAGUUCAGAACAAGGAAGAAGAUUAGGAAUGUUUAAAUAAAACUAAAAUGUCAAAAAUGAUUUACUUCUAUCGACUAAUGAUUCAAAUACAAAAAAAUAAUAUAAAUAAAUUUAGCUCUUAAAUGAUAACUUUAAAUAUAAUUUUUUUUAUUUUUUA